rnacentral:rRNA from 1 species
AUUGAACGCUGGCGGCAGGCCUAACACAUGCAAGUCGAGCGGAUGAAGGGAGCUUGCUCCUGGAUUCAGCGGCGGACGGGUGAGUAAUGCCUAGGAAUCUGCCUGGUAGUGGGGGAUAACGUCCGGAAACGGGCGCUAAUACCGCAUACGUCCUGAGGGAGAAAGUGGGGGAUCUUCGGACCUCACGCUAUCAGAUGAGCCUAGGUCGGAUUAGCUAGUUGGUGGGGUAAAGGCCUACCAAGGCGACGAUCCGUAAAUGGUCUGAGAGGAUGAUCAGUCACACUGGAACUGAGACACGGUCCAGACUCCUACGGGAGGCAGCAGUGGGGAAUAUUGGACAAUGGGCGAAAGCCUGAUCCAGCCAUGCCGCGUGUGUGAAGAAGGUCUUCGGAUUGUAAAGCACUUUAAGUUGGGAGGAAGGGCAGUAAGUUAAUACCUUGCUGUUUUGACGUUACCAACAGAAUAAGCACCGGCUAACUUCGUG